rnacentral:lncRNA from 1 species
AGGGAUAAACAGUUUCUGAUCUAUGAUUUAUGGAGCAUAUAAGAGAUUGAAUGUAAGUACUAAUUAAUUUCAGAUUAGAUAUAAAUUAAUUUAGCUUAAUUGGAUCUAAAAUCUAAGUUAGCUUGGUACAAAAGUCCUAAAAUAUUUGAGAUUGAUAGCCUUUCGAAAUUAUUUCAAAUCAGCUUGAAAUUGGAUUCGAAUCGGAU